rnacentral:lncRNA from 1 species
AUUUUGAUUUUCUGAGGCAUUUUAGUUACAAAAGUUGGUAAUUAAUUGGUGUUGAUCUAGUCAAGUCAAAAUAUAAGGAGCUGUUAGCAUUCUACUCCAUACUUGUAGCUCCUGAAUCCUAGGGCAUCUCAACUGUGCAACUUCUUCUGUCAUCAGCUGUGAUCAAGCCUUUUGACCUGGAGCUACUGAUGUGAUUGAACAAAGAAUUGUAUGAAUAGAGGAUUUCCUAGCAUGAUCUAUUUCUGGAGAGUCUAUUGGAAUGACUUGUGACUGCCAAACUGGUUCAGCACUCAGGGUAGCAUCUUGAAAAUGACUUGCCUACAUUCACACAGCCAAUAUAUAUCAGAGUGGAUCUUGGCCAGAUAUGAAGAGGAAAUGGAUCUCAUUUUUGGAUGUCACAGGACUGGCCGACCCUGUGGAUGAGUCUUGUAAGCCAUAGAGUCUUACACGAAUCCAGAAACUGAACUGUUUGGAGAAGUCCCUGAUGCUUCCACAGACCACAAGCUGCAUGAGAAGAUCAAGAAUGAACUUUGGGUGUGGUUGAUUGAACAUUUAUUUGUAUGUAUACUUUCAUGCCAAAGGGGACUGCACCCUAAUUGGCUUUUUGUCAAUGCAUCUAGCAAUUAUUGGUCUUGUUCUCUUUUCCUCUUAUCCUAAAAUUAUUGUAAUUUCACUGUUGGUAUGUUUAUAAGACCCAUUGGAGAGACUAGUCUUCCUCAGGCCUCAGGGGGAAAUGUAAAAAUGGAGAUUUGAACCCUAACCCUAGACUUCAAUCCCCAGAAGUCCUUGGUACUUCCCAGAGUUCCCUAUAAUCUCACCUGAGUCCCCACCUGGGCGAGAUCACAAUUAGUAUUUAAAUUGGCGGUAAUGCCUACCUCGACCUCUUCCUCUUCUUUGCUCUUCUGGAUGCUUGGCCAUUUGCAAGAUGUAGUAAGUAAGUUAUGAAUGGGCUAAUCAGCCUAUGGCACAUGUUUUCGUUAUUUUGUAUUUUCCUUAUUCCUUGAUUUUUAAUAAUCUUUAAUAAACCUCAUAAGGUAUAAUAUUUCUAUUACUAG